CAGAGAACAGGAGAGAUGUCAGACUCAAGUCACCAGCUCUUGCACAAAGUAACAGGGUGAGAACUCACUUAUUACUGUGAGGAGGGCACCAAGACAUUUGUGAGGAAUCUCCUCCCAUGACCAAAACACCUCCCCAGGCCUCACCUCCAACAUUGGGGAUCACACUUUAACGUAUUUUUUGGUAGAGACAGAGUUUUGCCAUGUUACCCAGGCUGGUCUCAAACU
rnacentral:lncRNA from 10 species